CCCGCACAAGCGGUGGAGUAUGUGGUUAAUUCGACGCAACGCGAAGAACCUUACCAGGGCUUGACAUCCCCUGACCGCGUAUGAAAGUACGUUUUCACCCUCGGGUGACAGGGAGACAGGUGGUGCAUGGUUGUCGUCAGCUCGUGUCGUGAGAUGUUGGGUUAAGUCCCGCAACGAGCGCAACCCCUACGUUUAGUUGCUAACAGGUGAAGCUGAGCACUCUAGACGAACUGCCGUUGACAAAACGGAGGAAGGUGGGAUGACGUCAAAUCAUCAUGCCCCUUAUGUUCUGGGCUACACACGUGCUACAAUGGCCGGUACAGACGGAGGCGAAGCCGCGAGGCGGAGCAAAUCCGAAAAAGCCGGUCUCAGUUCGGAUUGCAGGCUGCAAUUCGCCUGCAUGAAGUCGGAAUCGCUAGUAAUCGCAGGUCAGCAUACUGCGGUGAAUACGUUCCCGGGCCUU
rnacentral:rRNA from 1 species